CAGCCGCCGCGGUAAUACGUAGGGUGCGAGCGUUAAUCGGAAUUACUGGGCGUAAAGCGUGCGCAGGCGGUUAUAUAAGACAGAUGUGAAAUCCCCGGGCUCAACCUGGGACCUGCAUUUGUGACUGUAUAGCUAGAGUACGGUAGAGGGGGAUGGAAUUCCGCGUGUAGCAGUGAAAUGCGUAGAUAUGCGGAGGAACACCGAUGGCGAAGGCAAUCCCCUGGACCUGUACUGACGCUCAUGCACGAAAGCGUGGGGAGCAUACAGGAUUAGAGACCCCUGUAGUCCCUGUCUCUUAUAC
rnacentral:rRNA from 1 species